rnacentral:snoRNA from 1 species
AAACUAGAGGAUAAAGAGCUGGUCUCGUAUAUCAUGACUGGCCUUGAUGAUUACUUUGAUCCGGUGGUGUCUAUAGUUGCUGCCAGAGUUGAACCAAUCUUAGUAAGUGAGUUGUAAACUCAGCUUGUAAUUUUUGAAC